AGCGAACGCUGGCGGCAGGCUUAACACAUGCAAGUCGAGCGGGCAGCCUUGGGGUGUCAGCGGCAGACGGGUGAGUAACGCGUGGGAACGUGCCCUUCGGUUCGGAAUAACUCAGGGAAACUUGAGCUAAUACCGGAUACGUGCGAGAGCAGAAAGGUUUAUCUGCCGAAGGAUCGGCGCGCGUCUGAGUAGCUAGGUGGGGAGGUUACGGCUCACCAAGGCGACGAUCAGUAGCUGGUCUGAGAGGAUGAUCAGCCACCCGGGGUCUGAGCCACGGCCCAGCCUCCGACAGGAGGCGGCAGUGGGGAACAUUGGGCGGUGGGGUCAUCCCUGAUCCCGGCAUGCCGCGUGAGUGAUUUCGGCCUGAGGGUUGUAUUGCUCUUCGCCGGGACGAUAAUGACGGUACCGGAUGAAUAAGCCCCGGCUAACUACGUG
rnacentral:rRNA from 1 species